rnacentral:lncRNA from 1 species
GUAAGUUAUGAAUGUUGAGAGUAGCCGAUGUUGGAAAAUGUUUGAAGAUUGAUUUUUGGUUUUGAAUAGUGGUAAAUGUGUUGAAGAGGAAGGAAGGAUGAAUGUGAAAGAGUAUUUGUUGUUGAGAAAAAGAGAUGUUUAGCGGUGGAAGAAUGGUGUAUUAUUCGAGGAGGAAGGUAAAUAAUAAAAAGGAAUUGGAGGCAGAAAAUAUAUAAUUUUUGAUAAUGUUGGGAAAUGUGAAGAAAGUUGAUUGUUUUGAUAGACUUUAAGGGUAGAAACAAAUGAGUUAGUUAAGAUAAGAAAUUCCAUGACUUCAAGAAACACUGAAAUUUAGAUAUAGAUAGAUAGACAUCACGGAUAACCAAUUAGGGUAUCCUUUAUUUACGAA